rnacentral:rRNA from 1 species
GGUUAAGCGACUAAGCGUACACGGUGGAUGCCCUGGCAGUCAGAGGCGAUGAAGGGCGUGCUAAUCUGCGAUAAGCGCCGGUAAGGUGAUAUGAACCGUUAUAACCGGCGAUACCCGAAUGGGGAAACCCAGUGUGACUCGUCACACUAUCAUUAACUGAAUCCAUAGGUUAAUGAGGCGAACCGGGGGAACUGAAACAUCUAAGUACCCCGAGGAAAAGAAAUCAACCGAGAUUCCCCCAGUAGCGGCGAGCGAACGGGGAGGAGCCCAGAGCCUGAAUCAGCAUGUGUGUUAGUGGAAGCGUCUGGAAAGGCGCGCGAUACAGGGUGACAGCCCCGUACACAAAAGCGCAUGUGCUGUGAGCUCGAUGAGUAGGGCGGGACACGUGGUAUCCUGUCUGAAUAUGGGGGGACCAUCCUCCAAGGCUAAAUACUCCUGACUGACCGAUAGUGAACCAGUACCGUGAGGGAAAGGCGAAAAGAACCCCGGCGAGGGGAGUGAAAAAGAACCUGAAACCGUGUACGUACAAGCAGUGGGAGCCCCACCACUAAGCCAGUGGUGAACUCCACAUACGCAUCCUUUGCUGAGGAUACGGUUAACGGAGCGAAAGCGACGUUCAACCGCAAAAGAAGCAGAGGGGGCUUAGUGGUGGGGUGACUGCGUACCUUUUGUAUAAUGGGUCAGCGACUUAUAUUCUGUAGCAAGGUUAACCGUAUAGGGGAGCCGCAGGGAAACCGAGUCUUAACCGGGCGUUAAGUUGCAGGGUAUAGACCCGAAACCCGGUGAUCUAGCCAUGGGCAGGUUGAAGGUUGGGUAACACUAACUGGAGGACCGAACCGACUAAUGUUGAAAAAUUAGCGGAUGACCUGUGGCUGGGGGUGAAAGGCCAAUCAAACCGGGAGAUAGCUGGUUCUCCCCGAAAGCUAUUUAGGUAGCGCCUCGUGAAUUCAUCUCCGGGGGUAGAGCACUGUUUCGGCUAGGGGGCCAUCCCGGCUUACCAACCCGAUGCAAACUGCGAAUACCGGAGAAUGUUAUCACGGGAGACACACGGCGGGUGCUAACGUCCGUCGUGAAGAGGGAAACAACCCAGACCGCCAGCUAAGGUCCCAAAGUCAUGGUUAAGUGGGAAACGAUGUGGGAAGGCCCAGACAGCCAGGAUGUUGGCUUAGAAGCAGCCAUCAUUUAAAGAAAGCGUAAUAGCUCACUGGUCGAGUCGGCCUGCGCGGAAGAUGUAACGGGGCUAAACCAUGCACCGAAGCUGCGGCAGCGAACGUAUCACUUAAAGCGAUUCAGCGGGUUACGAUUGACGGAGCGAAGCGACGUCAAAGCGUAUACAAAGUCGAGUCGGUUUAAGGAUACGUUCGUUGGGUAGGGGAGCGUUCUGUAAGCCUGCGAAGGUGGCCUGUGAGGGUUGCUGGAGGUAUCAGAAGUGCGAAUGCUGACAUAAGUAACGAUAAAGCGGGUGAAAAGCCCGCUCGCCGGAAGACCAAGGGUUCCUGUCCAACGUUAAUCGGGGCAGGGUGAGUCGACCCCUAAGGCGAGGCCGAAAGGCGUAGUCGAUGGGAAACGGGUUAAUAUUCCCGUACUUGGUGUUACUGCGAAGGGGGGACGGAGAAGGCUAUGUUGGCCGGGCGACGGUUGUCCCGGUUUAAGCGUGUAGGUGUGUGUUCCAGGUAAAUCCGGUUCACUUUAACACUGAGGCGUGAUGACGAGGCACUACGGUGCUGAAGCAACAAAUGCCCUGCUUCCAGGAAAAGCCUCUAAGCAUCAGGUAACAUCAAAUCGUACCCCAAACCGACACAGGUGGUCAGGUAGAGAAUACCAAGGCGCUUGAGAGAACUCGGGUGAAGGAACUAGGCAAAAUGGUGCCGUAACUUCGGGAGAAGGCACGCUGACACGUAGGUGAAGUGAUUUACUCACGGAGCUGAAGUCAGUCGAAGAUACCAGCUGGCUGCAACUGUUUAUUAAAAACACAGCACUGUGCAAACACGAAAGUGGACGUAUACGGUGUGACGCCUGCCCGGUGCCGGAAGGUUAAUUGAUGGGGUCAGCGCAAGCGAAGCUCCUGAUCGAAGCCCCGGUAAACGGCGGCCGUAACUAUAACGGUCCUAAGGUAGCGAAAUUCCUUGUCGGGUAAGUUCCGACCUGCACGAAUGGCGUAAUGAUGGCCAGGCUGUCUCCACCCGAGACUCAGUGAAAUUGAACUCGCUGUGAAGAUGCAGUGUACCCGCGGCAAGACGGAAAGACCCCGUGAACCUUUACUAUAGCUUGACACUGAACAUUGAGCCUUGAUGUGUAGGAUAGGUGGGAGGCUUUGAAGUGUGGACGCCAGUCUGCAUGGAGCCGACCUUGAAAUACCACCCUUUAAUGUUUGAUGUUCUAACGUGGACCCGUAAUCCGGGUUGCGGACAGUGUCUGGUGGGUAGUUUGACUGGGGCGGUCUCCUCCUAAAGAGUAACGGAGGAGCACGAAGGUUGGCUAAUCCUGGUCGGACAUCAGGAGGUUAGUGCAAUGGCAUAAGCCAGCUUGACUGCGAGCGUGACGGCGCGAGCAGGUGCGAAAGCAGGUCAUAGUGAUCCGGUGGUUCUGAAUGGAAGGGCCAUCGCUCAACGGAUAAAAGGUACUCCGGGGAUAACAGGCUGAUACCGCCCAAGAGUUCAUAUCGACGGCGGUGUUUGGCACCUCGAUGUCGGCUCAUCACAUCCUGGGGCUGAAGUAGGUCCCAAGGGUAUGGCUGUUCGCCAUUUAAAGUGGUACGCGAGCUGGGUUUAGAACGUCGUGAGACAGUUCGGUCCCUAUCUGCCGUGGGCGCUGGAGAACUGAGGGGGGCUGCUCCUAGUACGAGAGGACCGGAGUGGACGCAUCACUGGUGUUCGGGUUGUCAUGCCAAUGGCACUGCCCGGUAGCUAAAUGCGGAAGAGAUAAGUGCUGAAAGCAUCUAAGCACGAAACUUGCCCCGAGAUGAGUUCUCCCUGAGACUUAGAGUCUCCUGAAGGAACGUUGAAGACGACGACGUUGAUAGGCCGGGUGUGUAAGCGCAGCGAUGCGUUGAGCUAACCGGUACUAAUGAACCGUGAGGCUUAACCUU